rfam:Ictidomys tridecemlineatus contig057295, whole genome shotgun sequence.
UGUGCUGGGGCUCAGUGGUAGAGCGCUUGCCUAGCAUGAGCAAGGCCCUGGGUUCGAUCCUCAGCACCACAU